ACGAUUUUGCCAACGCGCAUCCAAGACAUUGGAAGGGGCACAUCGCUACAGAAAGUAAAUGAAGUAUAAUUUGAACCUGAUCAGAUAUUUAAUCGAUGUUGGAAGGGGGGGGGGGCUCUGCUAGCACAACUUUAAAAUUAAAGACCGUCCAGCGUUGGGUAAAAAAAAUAUGGUCACCUUAAAAGUAGAAUGAGGUUUUUCUUCUAUUAAGAAAGCUAUGAUUUAGUAAUACAUUCACUUCGUUGGUUCCAAUCCACAUCAAGCAUCCACCAUAAUAACCAACCUCGCACAUGAUUAAUGAAAGACACAGGAGUCGCAAUCACCACCGGGUGGAAAAAGAAGGUUUUAAAGGAUAUGUAGAGAGGAUGACGAACGUAGGUUUCUUGAAUUUUAAGCAGAGAUUAUUAAUCUCUCCUAGUAUUUCAAGAGUUGUAAUUUUCAAAUUAAGGAUUUCGUAGUUUAAUGAGAAAGUAGCAGAUUACUAGAGACAGCGAAAUUGGCCAAUCGCAUCCAACGAUUUUAAAUUGCUUCCGUGACAUCUACUAUGUACUAUACAUAAUUUAACAUUGUAAAUAACGAAAGAUAAUAAUCGUCAACAAUCAAUUUUGUAAACAUUAUUUUACUUAUGCGUAAGUGUUGCUCAAACUGGUUUGGAAUUAGUAUGUACUUUACACUUGAUAAUGACCGCCAGGUCGAAGUGAUUCGUCGAGUGAAUAUAAAAUUUGUAUUUCACUUAUUGAUUGCUCUACAAGUUACGUUAUUCAUUUAAGAAUACUUUAAGAUAGAGACCUGUAAAAAUCCUGCCUUAUCAAUCAUUUAUAUCGAGCAAUUACUUAAUUAAUACGAACAUUAUUGGCUGAUUCUUGAAGUGUGAAGUCUUUGAUGGAUUAAAAUAAUGUACAGCAUGUAAUAAUU